rnacentral:ncRNA from 1 species
AAAGUCCCCCACGGGGAAGGUCUAGCAAACCGCCCCGACCCCGAGUGAUGCACGAGGUUCUGCUCGCGAGAGCAGCCGUGAAGCGUUCAGUAUUGAGCCGCGAAACGGGUCUAAUUCCGGGGUGCCGAUCUCCUUCCGUUGAAGAGAAGGCAACAUCGUCCCAUGACUUACUGGCUUGCAUGGGAAGAACCCCGCGCAGUCGGAGACCU